rnacentral:rRNA from 1 species
UCAUACGGGAGGCAGCAGUAGGGAAUCUUCCGCAAUGGACGAAAGUCUGACGGAACAACGCCCCCUGAACGAUGAAGGCCUUCGGGUCGUAAAGUUCUGUUGUUAGGGAAGAACAAGUACCAGAGUAACUGCUGGUACCUUGACGGUACCUAACCAGAAAGCCACGGCUAACUACGUGCCAACAGCCGCGGUAAUACCUAAGUGGCAAGCGUUGUCCGGAAUUAUUGGGCGUAAAGCGCGCGCAAGCGGUUUCUUAAGUCUGAUGUGAAAGCCCACGGCUCAACCGUGGAGGGUCAUUGGAAACUGGGGAACUUGAAUGCCAAACAAGAAAGAGGAAUUCCACGUGUAACGGUGAAAUGCGUAAAAAUGUGGAGGAACACCAGUGGCGAAAGCGACUCUCUGGUCUGUAACUGACCCCGAAGCCCCAAAACUUGGGGAGCGAACACGCAUAAAUCCCCCGGUUGCCCCCCCCCUAAACCAAUAAUGCCUAGUGUUAAAAGGUUUCCCCCCC